CAUCUCUCAGGUUCUCACCUGUAGAGUUUCCAGUACUCUACCAGUCAUGACUACAGGAGGGAGAGUCAAAGCAGAGGCAUACCCAUUCCAUUCCUAGUUUGGGCAGAGGCUAGUGAGUGGAAGGCAAUCUGCUACAAGU